CCUACGGGAGGCAGCAGUGAGGAAUAUUGGUCAAUGGACGAGAGUCUGAACCAGCCAAGUAGCGUGAAGGAUGACUGCCCUAUGGGUUGUAAACUUCUUUUAUAUGGGAAUAAAAUGUUCCACGUGUGGGAUUUUGUAUGUACCAUAUGAAUAAGGAUCGGCUAACUCCGUGCCAGCAGCCGCGGUAAUACGGAGGAUCCGAGCGUUAUCCGGGUUUAUUGGGUUUAAAGGGAGCGUAGGUGGAUUGUUAAGUCAGUUGUGAAAGUUUGCGGCUCAACCGUAAAAUUGCAGUUGAAACUGGCAGUCUUGAGUACAGGAGAGGUGGGCGGAAGUCGUGGUGUAGCGGUGAAAUGCUUAGAUAUCACGAAGAACUCCGAUUGCGAAGGCAGUUCACUGGACUGCAACUGACACUGAGGCUCGAAAGUGUGGGUAUCAAACAGGAUUAGAUACCCGAGUAGUC
rnacentral:rRNA from 1 species